CGGCUGUGUCCAAAGUCCAGCUUGUAUUUGACAUCAUCCCCGUUUCCUUAGAGCUCAAGCAAAGCUCUCGGUAUUUCAGAUGCCAAAGUCUGGACACAUUUGUGAGGUUUGAAUUUCUGCACCUUACUUACGUGACUCACAGGAGGAAAGUGCCUGGACUUGGCAGUGGCAGCCUCCUCUCCCAUGUGGAUCAGGUCGCCAUAUGAUGGGCUCAGAUGGGGACCUCUGUUUCUCCCAGGAGCCCACAGCCUGUCUCAUCCAGGACAGGGCAUGCACUGGGAGCAUGUUUGGACCACAGACCCUCCUGCUGAGUCAUCUGCCUCCAAACUUUGAAACAAAUCCAUUAAGGGCAGCUUUGGGGAACGACGUAAUAUUUUUAGGUGCCUGCUCACUUCAUGCCCCCUUCUCCUGAGAAUCCCUUCUGCAGAAGGGCAGGGCUCAGCUAGCACCAUCUCAGGUCACAGUUGACGGGACCAUGGCGGGACAACCCAUGGACUGCAGGGACUGUACCACCAGUUGGGGACAUGAAGAACACGAAAGGAAUUCACAGCCCAGCAAAGAAGACAAAUAGUGGGAGAAGUGUAAAUUACAGAUGGAUUCAGAUCCAAGGCUGAAAAGAUUCAAGCUCCAACUGUUACAACUCAACUGUCAAGAUGUUUUUGUUAAUGGUCAGCCCUUUACUUCCUGCCUUGGUGACUCCCGAGUGCUUUGGUGCCAUAGUAAGAGGAGAACAGCCUUUCUCUUUUGAUAUGGUUUGGGUCUCUGUCCCCAUCCAAAUCUCAUGUCAAAUUGUAAUCCCCCAUGUUGGAGGUGGGGCCUUGUGGGAGGCGAUUGGAUCAUGAGGGUGGAUUUCCCCUUUGGUGCUGUUCUUUUGAUUAUGAGUGAAUUCUUAUGAGAUCUGGCUGUUUAAAAGUGUGUGGCACCUCCCUCUUCGCUCUCUGUCUUCCUCCUGCUCUAGCCAUGUGAAGAUGUGCCUGCUUCCUCUUUGCCUUUCACCAUGAUUGUAAGUUUCCUGAGGUCUCCCCAGCCAUGCUUCCUGUACAACCUGCAGAACUGCGAGCC
rnacentral:lncRNA from 10 species